CUCCUUUUAAAACCUGCUAUUUUCUUUUUUUCUUCAUAUUUUCAUCCAAGAUUUCUUCCUAUCCUUUUUCGCCAUUCAAGGGAGUUUUCCAAUUUUCUGUUCUUAAUUUUAUGCAGAUCAUCUCGCUAACAGGUAUAUUUUUGUUCUCGCUUCCUCUGUCUUUAUCUUUUCCUUAAAAAUUUUUCUUAUGUUUGAUGGGCAUGAAUUCUGACGAGAGUCGUUACAUUUGUGGAGAACGAUUAGGAAGAGUCCAUCCCUUCCAAUGAACAUGGUUCUUCCUCAGGGUUGAAGGCACAUAAAGUCUUUUCUCCAGCUCUGUAGUUCGACCUGGUCGGACUAUAGUGUCCAUAAUAAAGCAUAGUCAUCCUGUCUUACUUGCACAUUUUGGGGAUGAUGCAGCGAUGGUAGGUCUACUUAGAGAUAAAUUUGGGAAUGAUGCAAGGGAUGAAGUGGGCGAUGAGGAUGCAAGCGAGGAUGGGGGUGGGAACACUUACAUAUUAGAUUAUUGUUGUUAUCUAGGCAAUUAGGGAAAUGGCAUACGAUCUACCGUAUACCUACUUCGAUUGAAAUGAUCAUUCGUUUCCCACAUGAUCGAGCUUUUGAGAUCUUCCAAAAUGUUGGGUAGCCUUUAGCUCUCCCUUAUUUUCAGGCAGUCAUAAGCUCUCUUUUCCACACAUUAUUUAUAGAUUUUUAUUUGCCUAGUGUAUGACUUGUACUCAGCUCCACCCAAAUGGAUGGAGGACUAUUUUUGGACGCUUACUGUUAUGACAUAAGUUGGAUUUUCUAGAGCUUACUGUUGAGCAUUUUAAUGCUCUUUACAACUUCAAAGAGGACAAGAAAAAUUCAGGUGGUAUUAUACACUAGUAUAACACCAAACACGAGGGGCUUUUGUGGUUCUAUAUUCCCCUUCUUCAAUCAAGAGAUGGAAAGAAGAGUUCUUCUUUAUCCAAGGUGACUAGCAUUUCCAUCCAUCUAAGGUGACAAGGGAUGAGGUUGUGCCAACCAGUUAUAACGAAGUAAAUAAGCUAGUAAUUAUUUUAUAUUGUCAAAAUGUUUUAAUGAGCGGGUUACAACUAACUUUUCUUUUUGCAGCUUACCUUACAACACAAGAUCACUUUAGAACUGCAGGAAAGGGUGAAUGAGAUUAGAGCCCUUUACCUUAAGCAGCAAUCCUAUUCAUCGCUGAUAAGUGACUCCAGCCUUUUCCAUGCUAGCUUAUUUGUUGCAAAAGCUUCACCUCUUUCUUAGAAACAUAGAUAUCAAGGGUUUUACAAUAGAUGUGGAUGCCAUUAACAAGUACGUGAAGAUGUGAUGGCUUUACAAAGGACUGCUUAAGAGAAAAAAGCCCCGUAAAGGCAACAUUGAGCCUGAAGGAAACCUUCCUCUUGUUAUAUAAUUUGGCAAUUUCUUUUUGUGAUCUUUUUGGUAAUUUUUGCUUUUUUUGAUGUAGCCUGGGAAUGAUUCUUUUGAAUAAAAUGACUAGUCUUUUUGACCCAUUAUAUGAAUGUUCUUGUUUAAUUUGA